GACGAACGCUGGCGGCGUGCCUAAUACAUGCAAGUAGAACGCUGAAGGAGGAGCUUGCUCUUCUGGAUGAGUUGCGAACGGGUGAGUAACGCGUAGGUAACCUGCCUGGUAGCGGGGGAUAACUAUUGGAAACGAUAGCUAAUACCGCAUAACAGUAGAUGUUGCAUGACAUUUGCUUAAAAGGUGCAAUUGCAUCACUACCAGAUGGACCUGCGUUGUAUUAGCUAGUUGGUGGGGUAACGGCUCACCAAGGCGACGAUACAUAGCCGACCUGAGAGGGUGAUCGGCCACACUGGGACUGAGACACGGCCCAGACUCCUACGGGAGGCAGCAGUAGGGAAUCUUCGGCAAUGGACGGAAGUCUGACCGAGCAACGCCGCGUGAGUGAAGAAGGUUUUCGGAUCGUAAAGCUCUGUUGUAAGAGAAGAACGAGUGUGAGAGUGGAAAGUUCACA
rnacentral:rRNA from 1 species